AACGAACGCUGGCGGCAUGCCUAACACAUGCAAGUCGAACGAGACCUUCGGGUCUUGUGGCGCACGGGUGCGUAACGCGUGGGAACCUGUCCUUAGGUUCGGAAUAACUCCCCGAAAGGGGUGCUAAUACCGGCUAAUGUCUUCGGCCCAAAGGUUUAUCGCCAGUGGAUGGGCCCGCGUGGGAUUAGCUAGUUGGUAGGGUAAAAGCCUACCAAGGCGACGAUCCAUAGCUGGUCUGAGAGGAUGAGCAGCCACACUGGGACUGGGACACGGCCCAGACUUCUACGGGAGGCAGCAGUGGGGAAUAUUGGACAAUGGGCGGAAGCCUGAUCCAGCAAUGCCGCGUGAGUGAUGAAGGCCUUAGAGUUGUAAAGCUCUUUUACCCGGGAUGAGAAUGACAGUACCGGAAGAAUAAGCUCCGGCUAACUCCGUG
rnacentral:rRNA from 1 species